GAUCAUGGCUCAGGAUGAACGCUGGCGGCGUGCUUAACACAUGCAAGUCGAACGGACUUUACAUGAAGCCUAGCGAUUGUAAAGUUAGUGGCGGACGGGUGAGUAACGCGUGAAUAACCUGCCCUGUACCGGGGGACGAACAGUUGGAAACGGCUGCUAAUACCGCAUAAGCGCACGGUUCCGCAUGGAACAGUGUGAAAAACUCCGGUGGUACAGGAUGGAUUCGCGUCUGAUUAGCCAGUUGGG
rnacentral:rRNA from 1 species